CGCUGGCGGCACGCCUAACACAUGCAAGUCGAACGAAGUAGCAAUACUUAGUGGCAGACGGGUGAGUAACAUGUAGGUAUCUACCCUUUGGCCUGGAAUAACACGAGGAAACUUGUGCUAAUACCGGAUAAGUCUUUACAGAGAAAGCUUUAUGCACCAUUGGAUGAGCCUGCACUUGAUUAGUUUGUUGGUGGGGUAAUGGCCUACCAAGACUGUGAUCAAUAGCUGAUUUGAGAGGAUGAUCAGCCACAUUGGGACUGAGACACGGCCCAAACUCCUACGGGAGGCAGCAGUGGGGAAUCUUGCACAAUGGAGGAAACUCUGAUGCAGCGAUGCCGCGUGAGUGAAGAAGGCCCUUGGGUUGUAAAGCUCUUUCGUCGGGGAAGAAAAUGACUGUACCCGAAUAAGAAGGUCCGGCUAACUUCGUGCCAGCAGCCGCGGUAAUACGAAGGGACCUAGCGUAGUUCGGAAUUACUGGGCUUAAAGAGUUCGUAGGUGGUUGAAAAAGUUAGUGGUGAAAUCCCAGAGCUUAACUCUGGAACUGCCAUUAAAACUUUUCAGCUAGAGUAUGAUAGAGGAAAGCAGAAUUUCUAGUGUAGAGGUGAAAUUCGUAGAUAUUAGAAAGAAUACCAAUUGCGAAGGCAGCUUUCUGGAUCAUUACUGACACUGAGGAACGAAAGCAUGGGUAGCGAAGAGGAUUAGAUACCCUCGUAGUCCAUGCCGUAAACGAUGUGUGUUAGACGUUGGAAAUUUAUUUUCAGUGUCGCAGCGAAAGCGAUAAACACACCGCCUGGGGAGUACGACC
rnacentral:rRNA from 1 species